AAAUACUGACUCUGCUUUGUUUUCCUCAGAAUGGGUGCACUUGAGCCGAUUGAAACAUUCCUCCUUGCAUCUUUCUUCUGUGAUUGCAUCUAUUUGUUAGUAGCAUAGAGACCAAUAAUAGAUGGCUUGUGCUGAUGGAAGGAUUCCUCCCUGGUGACAUGCUGUGUCUGCCUCUUGAUUGGGAGCACGCAGACCUACAAUGAUGCACUUUUUAUGAUUUGAGAAUUCCUUCAUGGUCACGUGCUCUGUUUUUAUCAUGGUUGGGAGCCUGCAGAGCAAUAAGGGACAUGCCUUUGCUGAUUUGAGGAUUCCUCUGAGGUUGGGAGCUAAGUUUGCAUCAUGCUUAGAAAGGAGUGUGCAGACCUGUAAUGAUUGCACUUUGCUGAUUGAAGGAUUCCUUCAAGUCCAUGUGCUCCACUUGCACCAUUUUUAGGAUGGAGCCUGGAGACCUAUAAUGAACAACUUGUGCUGUGUUAAGGAUUCCUCCAUGAUCACGCGCCCCAUUUGUACACCAUGCUUGGGAAGGUGCAUGCAGACCAAUAAUGGACGUACUUGUGAUGAUUUAAAGAUGCCUCCAAGGUCACGUGCUCUGUUUGCACCAUGCUUAGGAAGGAGCGUACAGACCAAAAAUGGAUGAAUUGUGCACCUUGAAAAGUUCUUCCAUGGUCACCUGAGGCAUCUGCGUCAUGAUUAGGCUCCGGAUGACUAAUGUGAGUAAUAGUUAACAUUUUUUACUUCCUUCUGGUGCCAUUUUAAGAGGACUCAUUGUAUUAUAAAAAGUGUGUGACAUUAUCAAAGAUGUCCGCCUGCAUCCCAGUGAAAGAUAUGGAAACGAUACGAAGCGUUGUAUUGAUAAUGCAUAUAUAAAAACCUGAAGAUAGUUAAUUAAGAGGUGUAUCAAUGUUGGAAUAAUUCAGUAUACAAAUUAGGAAUAUUAAAGUUAUUCUCAGGAUUUUUUUGAACUAUAAAGUCUUAAAAUUGCUAUUAGUGAAUUAACAAAUCAAUCCAUAGACAGGGUAGAAAUGAAUAGAGAAAGAGAUGAACAAUCCUGGAUCGAUGAUGACUGCUGGUGGCGUAUGAGUCAUAUGCGAUGAAUACGUGUCUAGAACUCUGAGGUCCAUCACAGAAGAAA
ensembl:lncRNA MEG8 maternally expressed 8, small nucleolar RNA host gene